rnacentral:rRNA from 1 species
UACAGAGGUCUCGAGCGUUAGGCGGAAUCACUGGGCUUAAAGCGUGUGUAGGCGGGUCGUUAAGUGCCUUGUGAAAUCCCAUGGCUCAACCAUGGAACUGCUGGGCAUACUGGCGAUCUUGUGCCACCUAGGGGCGAGCGGAACAGAUGGUGGAGCGGUGAAAUGCGUAGAUAUCAUCUGGAACGCCAAUGGUGAAAACAGCUCGCUGGGGGUGUGCAGACGCUGGAGACACGAAAGCCAGGGGAGCGAACGGG